AUGAAGGAGCUGGGACUGAAGAAGGAGGACUUGGACGACGUGGUCUUCGAUGAGCAACCAGCGUCGCCGGAGGGGGCGAGAUGGGUAGCCCUAGCUAGGGUUAACACCUCCAAAACCUACAGCCAUACUUGGUUCUUUAGAAACAUGAGAUCGGCAUGGGAUAUUGCGCAGGAGGCCAGGUUCAAACCCCUAGAGGAAAACUUGUACACGGUCACAUUCACUUGUUUGGGUGACUGGGAGAGAGUAAUGAACGACGACCCAUGGAAUUUCAGGGGAGAUGCGUUGAUUCUACUGCCAUAUGACGGGAUAACGAAGCCGUCCACUGUGAAGCUUGAGACAAUCGACAUAUGGAUCCAAAUCCAUGACGUACCAGAGUUGUAUGUGUUGGAAAUAUGCCCUAGAGGCAAUAAUAAAUUAGUUAUUAUUAUAUUUCCUUGUUCAUGA
rnacentral:rRNA from 1 species